rnacentral:rRNA from 1 species
CAGCGCCGCGGUAAUGCGAAGGGGGCUAGCGUUGCUCGGAAUUACUGGGCGUAAAGGGCGCGUAGGCGGAUGUUUAAGUCAGAGGUGAAAGCCCAGGGCUCAAUCUUGGAACUGCCUUUGAUACUGGACAUCUUGAGUGUGGGAGAGGUGAGUGGAACUCCGAGUGUAGAGGUGAAAUUCGUAGAUAUUCGGAAGAACACCAGUGGCGAAGGCGACUCACUGGCCCAUUACUGACGCUGAGGCGCGAAAGCGUGGGGAGCAAACAGGAUUAGAUACCCCGGUAGUCCCUGUCUCUUAUACA